rnacentral:RNase_P_RNA from 1 species
CGGGUUGGCUGGGCGACCGCGUGGACCGGGAGACCGGUCCCCGAGGAAGGUCCGGGCUCCACAGGGCGAGGUGGUGGGUAACACCCACCCGGGGCAACCUGCGGGAUAGUGCCACAGAGAACAGACCGCCUCCCCGGCUCCGGCCGGGGCGGUAAGGGUGAAACGGUGGUGCAAGAGACCACCAGCGGUCCGGGUGACCGGACCGGCUCGGCAAACCCCACCUGGAGCAAGGUCAAGAAGCUGCUCUCCGGAGCAGUGCGUGCGCGUUCGAGGGCGGCCCGCCCGAGCGCACGGGUAGACCGCUGGAGGCUGUCGGCAACGGCAGCCGUAGAUGGAUGGUCGCCCCCGAGGCAGCGAUGCCGAGGGACAGAACCCGGCCUACAGGCCAGCCCGUCCG